UUUCCAUAGGUGAACCUACGAAAGGAUCAUUGUUGUGACACUGACCAAAAUAGACCAUGCAUGCGUCAUCCAGUCCAUCGAUGAUGGCAUCAUCCGUUGCUCGGCCAACUCCUCGACUGCCUCCCCUCCUCGGAGUAGGGGCUCAGGGUAAAAGAACCCACGGCGCUGCAGGCGUCAAGGAACACUGUGCCUAAUCCGGGGGCAUGGCUAGCUUGCUAGUCAUCCCCCGUGUUGCAAAGCUAUUUAAUCCACAUGACUCUCGGCAACAGAUAUCUUAGCUCUC
rnacentral:misc_RNA from 1 species